CGAACGGUAACAGGAAGAAGCUUGCUUCUUUGCUGACGAGUGGCGGACGGGUGAGUAAUGUCUGGCGAAACUGCCUGAUGGAGGGGGAUAACUACUGGAAACGGUAGCUAAUACCGCAUAACGUCGCAAGACCAACGAGGGGGACCUUCGGGCCUCUUGCCAUCGGAUGUGCCCAGAUGGGAUUAGCUAGUAGGUGGGGUAACGGCUCACCUAGGCGACGAUCCCUAGCUGGUCUGAGAGGAUGACCAGCCACACUGGAACUGAGACACGGUCCAGACUCCUACGGGAGGCAGCAGUGGGGAAUAUUGCACAAUGGGCGCAAGCCUGAUGCAGCCAUGCCGCGUGUAUGAAGAAGGCCUUCGGGUUGUAAAGUACUUUCAGCGGGGAGGAAGGGAGUAAAGUUAAUACCUUUGCUCAUUGACGUUACCCGCAGAAGAAGCACCGGCUAACUCCGUGCCAGCAGCCGCGGUAAUACGGAGGGUGCAAGCGUUAAUCGGAAUUACUGGGCGUAAAGCGCACGCAGGCGGUAUGUUAAGUCAGAUGUGAAAUCCCCGGGCUCAACCUGGGAACUGCAUCUGAUACUGGCAAGCUUGAGUCUCGUAGAGGGGGGUAGAAUUCCAGGUGUAGCGGUGAAAUGCGUAGAGAUCU
rnacentral:rRNA from 1 species